rnacentral:ncRNA from 1 species
CCUAAGUCCGGCCAUUCUGGUCCGGCUGGGAAUACCAUCCGGGUAAAAGGGAACAUGGUAAGGCGUCGGAACAAGACGUCAAAACCAUGACUGCCCCCGCAACUGUGAGCGGAGAGCAAUGCUGCGAUAUGCCACUGCCCCAAGAGGGGGCGGGAAGGCGCGGCAAAGCUGCGACCCGCGAGUCAGGAGACCUGCCAGAAGGAUCACCCAGUC